rnacentral:rRNA from 1 species
UUACACAUGCAGUCGUGCGAGAAAGUAUCUUCGGAUAUGAGUAGAGCGGCGGACGGGUGAGUAACGCGUAGGAAUCUACCUAGUAGAAGGGGAUAGCCCGGGGAAACCCGGAUUAAUACCGUAUACCUCCUUUGGGAGAAAGAAGGCCUCUCUUUGAAGCUUUCGCUAUUAGAUGAGCCUGCGUAAGAUUAGCUUGUUGGUGAGGUAAAGGCUCACCAAGGCGACGAUCUUUAGCUGGUCUGAGAGGACGAUCAGCCACAUUGGGACUGAGACACGGCCCAGACUCCUACGGGAGGCAGCAGUGGGGAAUAUUGGACAAUGGGCGCAAGCCUGAUCCAGCCAUACCGCGUGUGUGAAGAAGGCCUUCGGGUUGUAAAGCACUUUAAGCAGGGAGAAAAAGUUAUAAGUUAAUACCUUAUAACCGUGAUGUUACCUGCAGAAUAAGCACCGGCUAAUUCCGUGCCAGCAGCCGCGGUAAUACGGAAGGUGCAAGCGUUAAUCGGAAUUACUGGGCGUAAAGCGCGCGUAGGUGGUUUGUUAAGUUGGAUGUGAAAGCCCUGGGCUCAACCUAGGAACUGCAUCCAAAACUAACUCACUAGAGUACGAUAGAGGGAGGUAGAAUUCAUAGUGUAGCGGUGGAAUGCGUAGAUAUUAUGAAGAAUACCAGUGGCGAAGGCGGCCUCCUGGAUCUGUACUGACACUGAGGUGCGAAAGCGUGGGUAGCGAACAGGAUUAGAUACCCUGGUAGUCCACGCCGUAAACGAUGACAACUAGCUGUUGGAAGACAAAGUCUUUCAGUGGCGCAGCUAACGUUUUAAGUUGUCCGCCUGGGGAGUACGGCCGCAAGGCUAAAACUCAAAUGAAUUGACGGGGACCCGCACAAGCGGUGGAGCAUGUGGUUUAAUUCGAUGCAACGCGAAAAACCUUACCUACUCUUGACAUACUUGGGAACUCUUGUAAUGAGAGUGUGCCUUUUGGAA